CUCAAAUCAAGGUUCUAAGGAUAAAAAUUUAAAGGUAGGCUUGAAAGGCUCAAACGGUUCAAAGAAGGCCCAAAUCACAUCCCAAAUCGCUUAUUACCCAACACUUCGUAUCAUAAAUGUCUUAAGGUGAGAUUUAAAACCGAACAAAGCAUGAUUGAGCACAAAUAAAUUCCAAAUUUAAAAUGCAAAACAUUCAACCAAAGCAAUGCAUAAGGUGUGAUUCCUAGCAAUAAUUCACUUCUACGUUCCGUUGAAUCGAAAGCUAAACAAAUACUAAUUCCUUA
rnacentral:lncRNA from 1 species